rnacentral:piRNA from 1 species
UUCCAAUGUCCUCCUCAGUCAGGAGAUCCC